UACGUAGGGAGCGAGCGUUGUCCGGAUUUACUGGGUGUAGAGGGUGCGUAGGCGGGACUACAAGUCAGACGUGAAAUACCGGGGCUCAACCCCGGGGCUGCGUUUGAAACUGUAGUUCUUGAGUGAAGUAGAGGUAGGCGGAAUUCCUAGUGUAGCGGUGAAAUGCGUAGAUAUUAGGAGGAACACCAGUGGCGAAGGCGGCCUGCUGGGCUUUAACUGACGCUGAGGCACGAAAGCAUGGGGAGCAAACAGG
rnacentral:rRNA from 1 species